rnacentral:lncRNA from 1 species
CUAAAAUAUACUUUAUGUAGAUCAAUUAAGAUCAUACAUACAUUAUAAAUAAAUGUGAGCGCGCGCUUGUGCAGAUAAAAAGGGUAACCAAUAGGAGUAGUAUAUACAUUUUUAGAACCUAGCAACCAACGUAAAUAGGCCAUAAAUUGACUAAAAAUAGGCCAUUUCAACUGACUGGCAGUUUUUGGGUGUAAUUAUUUUAGUAUUGCCAUCAACAAAAGACAAGAGGGGUUGCUCUGAUGGUAAGCAACCCCACUUCCAACCGAGAGGUUGUGAGUUUGAGUCUCCCCAAGAGCAAUGUGAGAAGUUCUUGGAGGGAAGAAUGUCGGGUUUCUAUUUGGAAACAUUGUUGUUGUUGUUGCCAACAGCAAAGAGGGAGGUAAGUUUCUGCUUGAGGCUUUCAAUUUCAUUAGCCUCUCCAUGGACUAGAAUUAUGUUGGGAGGCAUAAGUUGUUUCAAGAAGGUACUCGUCUGAGCAUAAUCCGCGUGAGCUGAGAAUGAAAUAUAAUGAACCUGCAUAUCAAGUGGAGCACUCAAGCCAUUUUGUAAGGUGACUUCCUUUGGUUCUUUGAUGAUAGUCUUCGCCAAGGUCCCUUCCACCACAUAUUCAGGUAUAACACAAGCAUUUUUCUUGUCGGACCACCAUCUAUCGAAUAGUUGCCUUGAUAAACCACUUUGAAGACUACCUGGGCUUGCCAUCACCACACAUGGUCUGUUGUCUAUAAAAUCUUCAAUACUGUUCAGGGAAGAAAUAUGUUGGAACUCAAAGAGAUUUGAGCCGCUGACAAACUCAUUACGGAUCCUUUCAUUCAUGGCAUUGAGGUAAGACUGAUAGACAAGCCAUACACUUUCUCGCAAGUGGAGAAGCAUAAUAUAUGGGGAAAUUAGCAAGUUCAGGAUGGUUAGACCAAUAUUCCUCCAGGAUAAGGAGAAGUUCCUGCGCACGUCCCAAGGCGAAAGCAGGAAUCAGCACCCGACCUCUUUGCAUGAGUGUUGAGUGUAUCACAUCAGUGAAAAGCUUCUCUCUUAUCUGACGUGGCAUAUGGAGUUGAACACCAUAAGUUGAUUCUAUAAUGCAAAUAUCUGGAGAAAAUUCUGGGGUCUCAGCAGCACGGAGAUGCCUGUCUUCUUCACGGGAGUAGUCUCCUGUAUAGAGAGUUUACUUCCAUAGUCUGAUGGAAGUCGACAACCUACAGAACCAGUUUUCACAUGUCAAAUAACCCUAGCCAUAUAUGUUAGCUAAAUCUUUUAAAAAUAGGCCAUAAAUUGAGUAGUAUUUACAUUUUUAGAACCUAGCAACCAACGUAAAUAGGCCAUAAAUUGACUAAAAAUAGGCCAUUUCAACUGACUGGCAGUUUUUGGGUGUAAUUAUUUUAGUAUUGCCAUCAACAAAAGACAAGAGGGGUUGCUCUGAUGGUAAGCAACCCCACUUCCAACCGAGAGGUUGUGAGUUUGAGUCUCCCCAAGAGCAAUGUGAGAAGACAAGUAAACCACUGACGAUUUCACCCACUCCAGGGGUCUUUUCAGCCAGCUUUCCAACAGUUUUAGCCAUUUUCUCAGAGUUGAAGUGCAUUUCAACUGAUUGGCAGUUUUUGGGUGUAAUUAUUUUAGUAUUGCCAUCAGCAAAGAGGGAGGUAAGUUUCUGCUUGAGCCUUCCCAUCUCAUUAGCCUCUCCAUGGACUAGAAUUAUGUUGGGAGGCAUAAGUUCUUUCAAGAAGGUACUAGUCUGAGC